GAUCCUGGCUCAGAAUCAACGCUGGCGGCGCGCUUAACACAUGCAAGUCGCACGAGAAAGGGGAGCAAUCCCUGAGUACAGUGGCGCACGGGUGAGUAACACGUGGGUAAUCCACCCUUUGGUGGGGAAUAACCCUGGGAAACCGGGGCUAAUACCGCAUAAGCCUGAGAAGGGAAAGCAGCAAUGCGCUGAAGGAGGAGCUCGCGGCCGAUUAGCUAGUUGGUGGGGUAACGGCUCACCAAGGCGACGAUCGGUAGCCGGCCUGAGAGGGCACACGGCCACACUGGCACUGAAACACGGGCCAGACUCCUACGGGAGGCAGCAGUGGGGAAUCUUGCACAAUGGGGGAAACCCUGAUGCAGCGACGCCGCGUGAGCGAUGAAGCCCUUCAGGGUGUAAAGCUCUUUCGACGGGAACGAUAAUGACGGUACCCGGAGAAGAAGCUGCGGCUAACUACGUGCCAGCAGCCGCGGUAAUACGUAGGCAGCAAGCGUUGUUCGGAAUUACUGGGCGUAAAGAGUGUGUAGGCGGUGCUCUAAGUUCGGUGUGAAAUCUCCCGGCUCAACUGGGAGGGUGCGCCGGAAACUGGAGUGCUGGAGCGCGGGAGAGGAAAGCGGAAUUCCUGGUGUAGCGGUGAAAUGCGUAGAUAUCAGGAGGAACACCGGCGGUGUAGACGGCUUUCUGGACCGU
rnacentral:rRNA from 1 species